UAGGGUGCAAGCGUUGUCCGGAAUUAUUGGGCGUAAAGAGCUCGUAGGCGGUUUGUUGCGUCGGCUGUGAAAACCUGAGGCUCAACCUCAGGCCUGCAGUCGAUACGAGCAGACUAGAGUGUUGCAGGGGAGACUGGAAUUCCUGGUGUAGCGGUGGAAUGCGCAGAUAUCAGGAGGAACACCGAUGGCGAAGGCAGAGCUCUGGGCCGUUACUGACGCUGAGGAGCGAAAGCGUGGGGAGCGAACAGG
rnacentral:rRNA from 1 species